UAAUCUCUUAGGGACCUACA
rnacentral:piRNA from 1 species